GAUGAACGCUGGCGGCGUGCCUAAUACAUGCAAGUCGAGCGAACAGACGAGGAGCUUGCUCCUCUGACGUUAGCGGCGGACGGGUGAGUAACACGUGGAUAACCUACCUAUAAGACUGGUAUAACUUCGGGAAACCGGAGCUAAUACCGGAUAAUAUAUUGAACCGCAUGGUUCAAUAGUGAAAGUCGGUUUUUCUGUCACUUAUAGAUGGUUCCACGCCGCAUUAGCUAGUUGGUACGGUAACGGCUUACCAAGGCAACGAUGCGUAGCCGACGUGAGAGGGUGAUCGGCCACACUGGAACGGAGACACGGACCAGAGUACUACGGGAGGCAGCAGUAGGGAAUCGUACGCAAUGGGCGAAAGCAUGACGGAGCAACGCCGCGUGAGUGAUGAAGGUCUUCGGAGCGUAAAACUCUGUUAUUAGGGAAGAACAAAUGUGUAAGUAACUAUGCACGUCUUGACGGUACCUAAUCAGAAAGCCACGGCUAACUACGUG
rnacentral:rRNA from 1 species